rnacentral:lncRNA from 1 species
CAGUGGUGGCCAGAGAGGGAGGCAGGAUUCUCUUCCACAGGGAUCAAAGGGGGCAGGGCCCUGCCAACAGCUUGGUGUUGCACUUCUUGAUUACCUGGGCUCUGGCAGCCUCUCUGGGUGAGUUUCUCAAUUAGAAUGAAAAAUCUCUAACAAUUCUUCACCCAGAUCCUCAUUUGUCUUUUUAGAACUGAAGCAAAAAUUGAACUCUCUGAGUUGGCUUAAUGGAGUUCAUCCAGGAGGCCGUGGGGCUGGUG